rnacentral:lncRNA from 1 species
CCUCCCGCUACGCCCCCGGCCCCGGCCCCGGCCCCGGCCCCUCCGCACCGAGCGUCCGCCCUCUCUCCCCUAAAGCGCUGGCCCGCAAUCCACCCCAUCCCUCUCUGCAGCCGCAGGAGGUGGCCCCCGCCUGUCCCCACCUUCUCUCCCCGCUCCUCUCGCCACUCUGUCGCAGAGGGGUCCGGCUAGCCACGAGGCCCCGGCCCCCGGCAGCCCAGCCCCUUGGCAAGCACCCUCCCGCCCCCUCCGCCCCUGCCCGUGGCGCGGCGACAUGGGCCCCAUCCAGGUGCUGCAGCCCCUCCUCCGCUGCAGGAGAAAACUCUCCUGUUUUCCCCUCCCUGCCACCCUCCGAAGACCUCCUACCUGGUCCCGGACCACGCCCCCGUCCCCAACUCCCCCAACGCCCCGCGCUCUGCGGGUCCCCUCUCCAACCUGGAGAGCGGGGCAGGACGAAGACCCGACCCGGAGCUUCCUGGAGGCUGGGCCUCCCUCUCAGGCUUGGCCCUGGCCAGGGACACUGAUCCGUCUCUCCCCACGUGUAGAAGGGCCACAAUCCCUAGGGCAGGACUGCUGGGAAACCCCAUCAAGACAAGGUCUGGGGAGGCGGCUUUAACAGACAGAUGUGAUGGGCUGAGGCCAACCCUGUUAACGUCGCAGCCCUGCACCCUUGCCAGGGUUUAAGUUGCUUUGGAGGAAUUACUUCAUUUCUCAGAACCUUGGCGUCCUCAUCUGUAAAAUAGAAAUCGUAAGAUCCAUCUCACCUGUUGCUAAAGGAAUUUAGAAGUGAAGUGCAGAGCAGAGCCUCCAAGAGCAUCGGAAAUGGGAAAAUCUGACCAUAUCAAGUGUUGACAAGGAAAUGGAGCAACUGGAACUGCCAGACACUGUUGGUGGACAUGCAAAGUGGUACAACUUUCAAAAUCUUUUUGAAAGGCCUUGAUUACCCAGCAAUUCUGCUCCUAGAUACACACCUAACAUUGUGUUUCUGUUGAUAGCAGCAGUGUUUAUAAUUGCCCCAAACUGGAAACUACUGAAAUGCUCAUCAGCCGUUAAAUGGAUACAUAAAUUGUGAUAUAUUCACACAGUGGAAUGACAGCAAUGACAGUGAAUAAUCAACUACACACAACAACAUGGAUGACUCUCACAAAUGAUGUUGAGGAAAAGAAGCCAGAGGAUAAAAAGCCAUAUUUGUUUCCAUGUGGAUAAAGUGGUAGAAGGUGUAUAUGGGGGUAGCAGUCAGGAUAGUGGUUACCCUUGGAGGGAGGGGUGCCAGAGCCAGGAAGCAGGGCACAGAGGACGUGUCUGGGGGCUGGCUGUGUUCUGUGUCUUGGUCUGAGUGCUGGUUACAGUGUGCUCAGUUUAUGAUGACUUUUCCAGCUGUGCAGUCAAGAUGCAUGUGCCUGUGGGGCACGGUGAUUCACGCCUGUAAUUCUAACACUUUGGAAGGCCAAAGCGGGUGGAUUGCUUGAGCCCAGGAGUUUGAGACCAGCCUGAGCAACAUGGUAAGACCCUAUCUCUAUUAAAAAAAAAAAAAGACG